rnacentral:rRNA from 1 species
UUAAGUUAAUAAGGGCGCACGGUGGAUGCCUUGGCACUAGGAGCCGACGAAGGACGUGACAAACGACGAUAUGCCUUGGGUAGCUGUAAGUAAGCGAUGAUCCAGGGAUUUCCGAAUGGGGGAACCCAACAGGUAAUACCUGUUACCUACAUCUGUUAAGGAUGUGAGGAGGAAGACGCAGUGAACUGAAACAUCUAAGUAGCUGCAGGAAGAGAAAGCAAAGGGCAAACCGAAGAGUUUACUCUUCGGGGUUGUAGGACUGCAAUGUGGACUCAAAGAUUAUAGAAGAAUGAUUUGGGAAGAUCAGCCAAAGAGAGUAAUAGCCUCGUAUUUAAAAUAGUCUUUGUACUUAGCAGUAUCCUGAGUACGGCGGGACACGUGAAAUCCCGUCGGAAUCUGGGAGGACCAUCUCCCAACCCUAAAUACUCCCUAGUGACCGAUAGUGAACCAGUACCGUGAGGGAAAGGUGAAAAGCACCCCGGGAGGGGAGUGAAAUAGAACCUGAAACCGUGUGCCUACAACAAGUUCGAGCCCGUUAAUGGGUGAGAGCGUGCCUUUUGUAGAAUGAACCGGCGAGUUACGUUAUGAUGCGAGGUUAAGUUGAAGAGACGGAGCCGUAGGGAAACCGAGUCUGAAUAGGGCGCCUUAGUAUCAUGACGUAGACCCGAAACCAUGUGACCUACCCAUGAGCAGGUUGAAGGUGCGGUAAGACGCACUGGAGGACCGAACCAGGGCACGUUGAAAAGUGCUUGGAUGACUUGUGGGUAGCGGAGAAAUUCCAAACGAACUUGGAGAUAGCUGGUUCUCUCCGAAAUAGCUUUAGGGCUAGCGUCGACAUUAGAGAUUCUUGGAGGUAGAGCACUGUUUGGGUGAGGGGUCCAUCCCGGAUUACCAAUCUCAGAUAAACUCCGAAUGCCAAUGAAUUAUGGUCGGCAGUCAGACUGCGAGUGCUAAGAUCCGUAGUCGAAAGGGAAACAGCCCAGACCACCAGCUAAGGUCCCAAAAUAAUUGUUAAGUGGAAAAGGAUGUGGGGUUGCACAGACAACUAGGAUGUUAGCUUAGAAGCAGCUAUUCAUUCAAAGAGUGCGUAAUAGCUCACUAGUCGAGUGACCCUGCGCCGAAAAUGUACCGGGGCUAAAACAAUUUACCGAAGCUGUGGAUACCUUUAUAGGUAUGGUAGGAGAGCGUUCUAUGUGUGAUGAAGGUAUACCGUGAGGAGUGCUGGAACGCAUAGAAGUGAGAAUGCCGGUAUGAGUAGCGAAAGACAGGUGAGAAUCCUGUCCACCGUAAGACUAAGGUUUCCAGGGGAAGGCUCGUCCGCCCUGGGUUAGUCGGGACCUAAGGAGAGACCGAAAGGUGUAUCCGAUGGACAACAGGUUGAUAUUCCUGUACUAGAGUAUGUAGUGAUGGAGGGACGCAGUAGGCUAACUAAAGCAGACGAUUGGAAGAGUCUGUCUAAGCAGUGAGGUGUGAAUUGAGUCAAAUGCUUAAUUCUAUAACAUUGAGCUGUGAUGGGGAGCGAAGUUUAGUAGCGAAGUUAGUGACGUCACACUGCCAAGAAAAGCUUCUAGCGUUUAAACAUACUCUACCCGUACCGCAAACCGACACAGGUAGUCGAGGCGAGUAGCCUCAGGUGAGCGAGAGAACUCUCGUUAAGGAACUCGGCAAAAUGACCCCGUAACUUCGGGAGAAGGGGUGCUGACUUAAAGUCAGCCGCAGUGAAUAGGCCCAAGCAACUGUUUAUCAAAAACACAGCUCUCUGCUAAAUCGUAAGAUGAUGUAUAGGGGGUGACGCCUGCCCGGUGCUGGAAGGUUAAGAGGAGUGCUUAGCGUAAGCGAAGGUAUGAAUUGAAGCCCCAGUAAACGGCGGCCGUAACUAUAACGGUCCUAAGGUAGCGAAAUUCCUUGUCGGGUAAGUUCCGACCCGCACGAAAGGCGUAAUGAUUUGGGCACUGUCUCAACGAGAGACUCGGUGAAAUUUUAGUACCUGUGAAGAUGCAGGUUACCCGCGACAGGACGGAAAGACCCCAUGGAGCUUUACUGCAGUUUGAUAUUGAGUGUCUGUACCACAUGUACAGGAUAGGUAGGAGUCUAAGAGAUCGGGACGCCAGUUUCGAAGGAGACGCUGUUGGGAUACUACCCUUGUGUUAUGGCCACUCUAACCCAGAUAGGUGAUCCCUAUCGGAGACAGUGUCUGACGGGCAGUUUGACUGGGGCGGUCGCCUCCUAAAAGGUAACGGAGGCGCCCAAAGGUUCCCUCAGAAUGGUUGGAAAUCAUUCGCAGAGUGUAAAGGUAUAAGGGAGCUUGACUGCGAGAGCUACAACUCGAGCAGGGACGAAAGUCGGGCUUAGUGAUCCGGUGGUUCCGUAUGGAAGGGCCAUCGCUCAACGGAUAAAAGCUACCCUGGGGAUAACAGGCUUAUCUCCCCCAAGAGUUCACAUCGACGGGGAGGUUUGGCACCUCGAUGUCGGCUCGUCGCAUCCUGGGGCUGUAGUCGGUCCCAAGGGUUGGGCUGUUCGCCCAUUAAAGCGGCACGCGAGCUGGGUUCAGAACGUCGUGAGACAGUUCGGUCCCUAUCCGUCGCGGGCGUAGGAAAUUUGAGAGGAUCUGCUCCUAGUACGAGAGGACCAGAGUGGACUUACCGCUGGUGUACCAGUUGUCUUGCCAAAGGCAUCGCUGGGUAGCUAUGUAGGGAAGGGAUAAACGCUGAAAGCAUCUAAGUGUGAAACCCACCUCAAGAUGAGAUUUCCCAUGAUUAUAUAUCAGUAAGAGCCCUGAGAGAUGAUCAGGUAGAUAGGUUAGAAGUGGAAGUGUGGCGACACAUGUAGCGGACUAAUACUAAUAGCUCGAGGACUUAUCCAA